rnacentral:rRNA from 3 species
UACGGAGGGAGCUAGCGUUGUUCGGAAUUACUGGGCGUAAAGCGCACGUAGGCGGCGAUUUAAGUCAGAGGUGAAAGCCCGGGGCUCAACCCCGGAACUGCCUUUGAGACUGGAUUGCUAGAAUCUUGGAGAGGCGGGUGGAAUUCCGAGUGUAGAGGUGAAAUUCGUAGAUAUUCGGAAGAACACCAGUGGCGAAGGCGGCCCGCUGGACAAGUAUUGACGCUGAGGUGCGAAAGCGUGGGGAGCAAACAGG